rnacentral:lncRNA from 1 species
UACGAAUAGCAGCGAUAAGAUCCUCGAACCUCUCCAGAUGGUCCAUAGGAUGCUCAUGCGGUAACCCAGAGUAGGGUAGCUGCGACACGAGUGUGUAGUACUGAGGCUUCAGCUCGAAAUUCUCCUUCUGAAUCUCUGGAAGGCAAAUAUCUGAUAUGUUGGUGUAGUACUCGUCUGGACGAUUGUACUCGGCCAGUGUCUUUGGUGGAGCAGCC